GAAGGUGGCCUGUGAGGGUUGCUGGAGGUAUCAGAAGUGCGAAUGCUGACAUAAGUAACGAUAAAGCGGGUGAAAAGCCCGCUCGCCGGAAGACCAAGGGUUCCUGUCCAACGUUAAUCGGGGCAGGGUGAGUCGACCCCUAAGGCGAGGCCGAAAGGCGUAGUCGAUGGGAAACAGGUUAAUAUUCCUGUACUUGGUGUUACUGCGAAGGGGGGACGGAGAAGGCUAUGUUGGCCGGGCGACGGUUGUCCCGGUUUAAGCGUGUAGGCUGGUUUUCCAGGCAAAUCCGGCUUUAAAACUGAGGCGUGAUGACGAGGCACUACGGUGCUGAAGCAACAAAUGCCCUGCUUCCAGGAAAAGCCUCUAAGCAUCAGGUAACAUCAAAUCGUACCCCAAACCGACACAGGUGGUCAGGUAGAGAAUACCAAGGCGCUUGAGAGAACUCGGGUGAAGGAACUAGGCAAAAUGGUGCCGUAACUUCGGGAGAAGGCACGCUGACACGUAGGUGAAGUGAUUUACUCAUGGAGCUGAAGUCAGUCGAAGAUACCAGCUGGCUGCAACUGUUUAUUAAAAACACAGCACUGUGCAAACACGAAAGUGGACGUAUACGGUGUGACGCCUGCCCGGUGCCGGAAGGUUAAUUGAUGGGGUCAGCGCAAGCGAAGCUCCUGAUCGAAGCCCCGGUAAACGGCGGCCGUAACUAUAACGGUCCUAAGGUAGCGAAAUUCCUUGUCGGGUAAGUUCCGACCUGCACGAAUGGCGUAAUGAUGGCCAGGCUGUCUCCACCCGAGACUCAGUGAAAUUGAACUCGCUGUGAAGAUGCAGUGUACCCGCGGCAAGACGGAAAGACCCCGUGAACCUUUACUAUAGCUUGACACUGAACAUUGAGCCUUGAUGUGUAGGAUAGGUGGGAGGCUUUGAAGUGUGGACGCCAGUCUGCAUGGAGCCGACCUUGAAAUACCACCCUUUAAUGUUUGAUGUUCUAACGUGGACCCGUGAUCCGGGUUGCGGACAGUGUCUGGUGGGUAGUUUGACUGGGGCGGUCUCCUCCUAAAGAGUAACGGAGGAGCACGAAGGUUGGCUAAUCCUGGUCGGACAUCAGGAGGUUAGUGCAAUGGCAUAAGCCAGCUUGACUGCGAGCGUGACGGCGCGAGCAGGUGCGAAAGCAGGUCAUAGUGAUCCGGUGGUUCUGAAUGGAAGGGCCAUCGCUCAACGGAUAAAAGGUACUCCGGGGAUAACAGGCUGAUACCGCCCAAGAGUUCAUAUCGACGGCGGUGUUUGGCACCUCGAUGUCGGCUCAUCACAUCCUGGGGCUGAAGUAGGUCCCAAGGGUAUGGCUGUUCGCCAUUUAAAGUGGUACGCGAGCUGGGUUUAGAACGUCGUGAGACAGUUCGGUCCCUAUCUGCCGUGGGCGCUGGAGAACUGAGGGGGGCUGCUCCUAGUACGAGAGGACCGGAGUGGACGCAUCACUGGUGUUCGGGUUGUCAUGCCAAUGGCACUGCCCGGUAGCUAAAUGCGGAAGAGAUAAGUGCUGAAAGCAUCUAAGCACGAAACUUGCCCCGAGAUGAGUUCUCCCUGAGACUUAGAGUCUCCUGAAGGAACGUUGAAGACGACGACGUUGAUAGGCCGGGUGUGUAAGCGCAGCGAUGCGUUGAGCUAACCGGUACUAAUGAACCGUGAGGCUUAACCUUACAACGCCGAAG
rnacentral:rRNA from 1 species